GAAGCCUGACCCGGCGACGCCGCGUGCGGGAAGACGGCCUUAGGGUUGUAAACCGCUGUUGUACGGGAAGAAGAGGUUGACGGUACCGUACGAGGAAGGUCCGGCUAACUACGUGCCAGCAGCCGCGGUAAUACGUAGGGACCGAGCGUUAUCCGGAAUUACUGGGCGUAAAGGGCACGCAGGCGGUCAUGCAAGUCAGCUGUUAAAGAUGGGGGCUUAACCCUUAGGAGCGGUUGAAACUGUGUGACUUGAGUACUGGAGAGGUAAGUGGAAUUCCCGGUGUAGCGGUGAAAUGCGUAGAUAUCGGGAAGAACACCAGUGGCGAAGGCGGCUUACUGGCCAGUAACUGACGCUGAGGUGCGAAAGCCAGGGUAGCGAACCGGAUUAGAUACCCGGGUAGUCCUGGCCGUAAACGAUGAAUGCUAGGUGUGGGUGGGUAGAACCAUCCGUGCCGGAGUUAACGCGCUAAGCAUUCCGCCUGGGGAUUACGACCGCAAGGUUG
rnacentral:rRNA from 1 species